rnacentral:rRNA from 1 species
AGAGUUUGAUCCUGGCUCAGAAUGAACGCUGGCGGCGUGCCUAACACAUGCAAGUCGAACGAGAAACUCCGGGCUUGCUCGGAGGAGUAAAGUGGCGCACGGGUGAGUAACGCGUGGGUAACCUGCCCUUCAACCCGGGAUAACUUCGCGAAAGCGUUGCUAAUACCGGAUAUUGUCCCUGAGACUGUGGUUUUGGGGAUGAAAGGUGACCUCUUCAUGAAAGUUGCUGUUGAGGGAGGGGCUCGCGUACCAUUAGCUUGUUGGUAGGGUAAAGGCCUACCAAGGCCGCGAUGGUUAGCUGGUCUGAGAGGAUGAUCAGCCACACUGGAACUGAAACACGGUCCAGACUCCUACGGGAGGCAGCAGUGGGGAAUUUUGCGCAAUGGGGGAAACCCUGACGCAGCAACGCCGUGUGAGUGAAGAAGGCUUUCGGGUCGUAAAGCUCUGUCAAGUGGGAAAAAGGCCUUUCUGUGAACAGCGGGAAGGAUUGAUGGUACCACUAGAGGAAGCACCGGCUAACUCCGUGCCAGCAGCCGCGGUAAUACGGAGGGUGCGAGUGUUGUUCGGAAUUACUGGGCGUAAAGAGCGUGUAGGCGGUUUGGUAAGUCAGGUGUGAAAGCCCUGGGCUCAACCCAGGAAGUGCACUUGAAACUGUCGGGCUUGAGUACGGGAGAGGGAAGCGGAAUUCCUGGUGUAGAGGUGAAAUUCGUAGAUAUCAGGAGGAACACCGGUGGCGAAGGCGGCUUCCUGGACCGAUACUGACGCUGAGAGCGAAAGCGUGGGGAGCAAACAGGAUUAGAUACCCUAGUAGUCC